rnacentral:rRNA from 1 species
UGCGAGCGUAAUCGGAAUACUGGGCGUAAAGCGCAUGCAGGUGGUUCGUUAAGUCAGAUGUGAAAGCCCGGGGCUCAACCUCGGAACUGCAUUGAAACUGGCGGACUAGAGUACUGUAGAGGGGGGUAGAAUUUCAGGUGUAGCGGUGAAAUGCGUAGAGAUCUGCAAGGAAUACCAGUGGCGAAGGCGGCCCCCUGGACAGAUACUGACACUCAGAUGCGAAAGCGUGGGGAGCAAACAGGAUUAGAUACCCUGGUAGUCCACGCCGUAAACGAUGUCUACUUGGAGGUUGUGGCCUUGAGCCGUGGCUUUCGGAGCUAACGCGUUAAGUAGACCGCCUGGGGAGUACGGUCGCAAGAUUAAAACUCAAAUGAAUUGACGGGGGCCCGCACAAGCGGUGGAGCAUGUGGUUUAAUUCGAUGCAACGCGAAGAACCUUACCUACUCUUGACAUCCAGAGAAGCCAGCGGAGACGCAGGUGUGCCUUCGGGAACUCUGAGACAGGUGCUGCAUGGCUGUCGUCAGCUCGUGUUGUGAAAUGUUGGGUUAAGUCCCGCAACGAGCGCAACCCUUAUCCUUGUUUGCCAGCGAGUAAUGUCGGGAACUCCAGGGAGACUGCCGGUGAUAAACCGUUGGAACCUUGGGACGACGUCAAGUCAUCAUGGCCCUUACGAGUAGGGCUACACACGUGCUACAAUGGCGCAUACAGAGGGCAGCAAGCUAGCGAUAGUGAGCGAAUCCCAAAAAGUGCGUCGUAGUCCGGAUUGGAGUCUGCAACUCGACUCCAUGAAGUCGGAAUCGCUAGUUAUCGUAGAUCAGAAUGCUACGGUGAAUACGUUCCCGGG